GGCUCCUGCCCACGCACUAACCCAGCAUGGUGGCUUGCUUCAGAAACUGGAAGCUGGUUUCAAACGUCAUCUGCUGUAGCGGGGAAGAGUUUGACCGGAUCCCAAAGGCAGGGCAGUGACUUGCCAGACGCCAUCAGCGGGGGUCUCCGACCUUCCAGUUCAAUCUGGCCCAGCAGGCACGAGAUCUGGAGGACAGGAAACCCACAGGAAACUGAAGAUCCACAUGUGUGUUUAACAGUGCUUAACCAUUCUAGAUGUCAUUAAAAAAUUUGUGAUUCAUGGGAGGAAUAUCAAUAUUAACAGGAGUUUGGAACAAGUUGAUUCCAACCCUUAAGUAUGACUUUCAGGGGGUCAAGACUUCAGUGGAGGAAGUAACGGCAGCAGUGGUAGAAAUAGAACUAGAAUUAGAAGAAGAAUCUAUAAAGGAAAAAAAAGAACAAAAAAUAAGUGUUGGUGAAAAUGUGGAGUAACUGAGACCUUCAUACAUUGUUAGUGGAAAUGUAAAAUAACACACCUGAUUUGAAAAAUAGUUUGAAAGUUC
rnacentral:lncRNA from 1 species